GUUUUUAUAGUAUAAGUAAAUACAUAACAUUUUCAUUGUUAAGCUGUUCUCUGGAACUAAAAAUA
rnacentral:tRNA from 1 species